AGGGCCAUAGCCGCGAUCACUUCCCCUUUGUCAUUUUUAACAACAACACCAAUUCCACCAACACCUGUUUUGGGAAUAUAAGCAGCAUCUACAUUCAAUUUAUAUUUACCUGCAAGAGGAGGAGACUAUUUGGUUAGCUUGUCAACAUCUAUUUUAGGUUCACCUUUCACAAGAUUUCCAUAUUCGGCGAUUUACGUCUUCCUGAAUUGGGAGAGCAAGCACAAGUCUCUCUUCUUCUUUUUUUUCUUUUUCUUUUACCCUUUAUUGGAACUUUAAAAAUUCAUCGGCCAAGUAAAGAGCUCUUUUGAAAAUCGCCCCCUUUGCACAAGACCAACCUUCAACAACUACUUUAUUUAUGUUUUGCCAUAAGCUCCAGCAGAUAUAUAAAAACAAGCGCAUUUCAUACUUCGAAAAAUAAAUAGUGGCA
rnacentral:lncRNA from 1 species